UACGGGGGAUGCAAGCGUUGUCCGGAAUCAUUGGGCGUAAAGAGUUCGUAGGUGGUUUGUUAAGUUAGGUGUUAAAGGCAGAGGCUCAACUUCUGAUAGGCACUUGAUACUGGCAGACUAGAAUGCAGCAGAGGUAAAGGGAAUUCCUGGUGUAGCGGUGAAAUGCGUAGAUAUCAGGAGGAACAUCGGUGGCGAAAGCGCUUUACUGGACUGUAAUUGACACUGAGGAACGAAAGCCAGGGUAGCAGAU
rnacentral:rRNA from 1 species